CAUGCUUACUAGAUUGUUUCAGUAAUGACCUUCCAUUUAUUCACGCCCUCCUGUCCCUGCUAUGUGGGUUGUGCUUUUACAUGUUGAAUAUGGGGUUGUCCUCAUAGUAUGUGAGCAAUGAGACAAUAGCAAGCAUGGCAUAAGCAGAUACUUGGAAAUGCUUUUGCAUCGAGUCCUGUUCUACUUCUUGGUCUUCUUAAAACAUGCCUGACCAUCACCAUAUGAAGAAAUCCAGGAUAAUUUGCUAGGUGAGAAGAGACCAUUGUUUCAGUAAUCCUUGUCAUUUCAUCCAAGAGCCAGAAGUUCUGGAGGCUGGCAAGAUCAAGACACCAGCAUCUGUUGUGGGCCUUCUUACUGUGUCCUCACGUGGCAGAAGGCGAAGGACAAAAGAGGACAAGUACUGAGUCCCCACAUGACAGAAAAGCAAAAGAGAGAGAAGGCACUCUCACCAACCCUGUUCAUAGCAGCAUGAAUCCAUGCAGGAGAUUUUCCUUUUCUCCUACUAGACACUGUGGAUGUUAGCAGUCCAGAAUCAAGGGCCAUUGUUUCUAGGUGCUCUAGAGGACGUGCUGAGAAAAAGUCAACACUAUUAUGUCUAGUGCUGUUGUGUUCUGCAUCUGGAGCUGGGUGGGUUUCAUCAGGGACUGAAUGGCUGGCAAUCACUGGAAUUCAACCUUAAUUCAUUAAGCUCUUCAAGUUCGCUGCAUGUGGAGCUCUUUAUUUACGUUUAUAAGAAUAAAAUUAUUUAAAGAGAUUUAGCUCAUGUGGGUCUAGCCCAGAAGAGAGAUGAUUAGCCAGGGUUUCCAAGUAUGGCUGACACCGAAUUUCAGUUCCUGUUUUACCAUCUCCAAAUUAGUCCAUUACAGCUUAGUUCAGUCUCUCAGAUACCUACACCAGAUCACCAAAUACAUCACGGUGGAAACAAUUCAGAGUCACCUGCCUUCUGUUGUUUCCUCAGUUUUUCUAGAUUAUUCCUCACUUUGAUUUUUUAAAAUAUUGUUUUGAUCUUUCUGUUUUUCCUUCAGCAGAACAAUCAAUCCAAAUGAAUUAAACUACUAUUAACGUAGCUUAAAAGUUUCAUAUAUUAUUAUUAUUUCCAUUUCAAUUGAGACGAUCAAAUGUUUCUCUUUGCAGAAAUAAUGUGGUAAAUUAAUCGAUAUUUCUAAUAUUAAAUCAACC
rnacentral:lncRNA from 10 species